CUGACAGUUCUGAUCAUUUCCUUGCAGCAGCUCGGCACUUUAAGGGCAAGCCAUGACUGUUCUCUUUUUCUCUAAGCAACCGCGGUAAUGAGUUAUAACUGGAAGCACUUACUGUAAUGGCCUGGAGUCUCUCCUUCACCAGUUCAGUCUCUUCCAUUCUAGAGAUUGAGGUCGGGGAAACUGUAAACAAGGAAUGAAUGUGAAGCUACAUAAAAUGAGGAAACUGAGACCUGCAGAGGGACACAGAGCUAACUAGUGGUCAAGUUGAGAUUGGCAUCCACGUCACCAUACAACAGAACCAGUCAUCUUUCUACCACAAGGUUCGGAUUUUCACAUAUUGAAGUUAUAUAGAGUGAGCUAAAACUCAGGACGGG